UGGGGAAUAUUGCACAAUGGAGGGAACUCUGAUGCAGCGACGCCGCGUGAACGAAGAAGGCUUUCGAGUCGUAAAGUUCUUUUAUAUGGGAAGAUAAUGACGGUACCAUAAGAAAAAGCCCCGGCUAACUACGUGCCAGCAGCCGCGGUAAUACGUAGGGGGCUAGCGUUGUCCGGAAUCACUGGGCGUAAAGGGUUCGCAGGCGGAAAUGCAAGUCAGGUGUAAAAGGCAGUAGCUUAACUACUGUAAGCAUUUGAAACUGCAUAUCUUGAGAAGAGUAGAGGUAAGUGGAAUUUUUAGUGUAGCGGUGAAAUGCGUAGAGAGUAAAAAGAAUACCGGUGGCGAAGGCGACUUACUGGGCUCAUUCUGACGCUGAGGAACGAAAGCGUGGGUAGCAAACAGG
rnacentral:rRNA from 1 species